AUUGAACGCUGGCGGCGUGCUUAACACAUGCAAGUCGAGCGGUAACAGGCGUAGCAAUACGUGCUGACGAGCGGCGAACGGGUGAGUAAUGCUUCGGAAUCUUCCUCGUAGUGGGGAAUAACCUGGGGAAACUCAGGCUAAUACCGCAUACGAACUACGGUUGAAAGCAGGGGAUCGCAGGACCUUGCGCUAUGAGAUGAGCCGAAGUCGGAUUAGCUAGUUGGUGAGGUAAAGGCUCACCAAGGCGACGAUCCGUAGCUGGUCUGAGAGGACGACCAGCCACACUGGGACUGAGACACGGCCCAGACUCCUACGGGAGGCAGCAGUGGGGAAUAUUGGACAAUGGGGGCAACCCUGAUCCAGCGACGCCGCGUGUGUGAAGAAGGCCUGCGGGUUGUAAAGCACUUUUAGUGGGGAUGAAAAGCCGAAGGCUAAUACCUUUCGGUCUUGACCUAACCCAAAGAAAAAGCACCGGCUAACUCUGUGCCAGCCGCCGCUGUAAAAC
rnacentral:rRNA from 1 species